GCACCUAUAACUCAAGCGGAUAGAGUGUAGGACUUCGAAUCCUGAAGCUGUGAGUUCGAGUCUCACUAGGUGUACCA
rnacentral:tRNA from 1 species